rnacentral:rRNA from 1 species
UACGUAGGGGGCAAGCGUUGUUCGGAAUUACUGGGCGUAAAGGGCGCGUAGGCGGCACGGCAAGUCGGGAGUGAAAGGCCUGGGCUCAACCGAGGAACUGCUUUCGAGACUGCCGAGCUAGAGUGCGGAAGGGGCAACUGGAAUUCCUGGUGUAGCGGUGAAAUGCGCAGAUAUCAGGAAGAACACCCGUGGCGAAGGCGGUUCUCUGGGACGGUACUGACGCUGAGACGCGAAAGCGUGGGGAGCGAACGGG